rnacentral:lncRNA from 1 species
CUUCCUCCUCUUCUUCCUCCUCAUUUGUUUUUCCUCCUCCAUGAUGACUCCCUCCACCUCCAUCCAUUCCUCCAUCAUCUCCUUCCUCCUCAUUCUCAUCCUUCUACUCCCUCCUCUCCGAUUAAUCUCCUCUUCUAUCACUGACAUCCCUCUUUCUCCCUCAUUCUUCCUCUUCACCUAUUUCUUCUCCUCUAUAAUAGCUCUCUCCACCUCUAUCCAUU